CCAGCAAUUCCCGCUACCCUCGUGAGGAUAAGAGGUGGAAGAAAUGGAUGGAUGGACGAUGGAGCUUUCAAAAAAGGGCAAGUCCAUCAUCUCCAAAAACCUCCUGAAGUGGAGGAUUCGGAAAGUGUUGCCAGUGCUCUAAUUGCCCUUCAAGACCAUCAAAGCAGUGGAACAGGUGGUUCACUGUCACCAUAAAGAACCCCAAGACAUUCAAAACUAUCUACCAUUUACCAUCUCCCAUGAACCUUGAGUCAUUCACCACCAAACAUGAGCCUCUACCAUUCCUCCAAAGAGAGUUGG